AAACCAUGAUUCGGACACUUUCUCAAUAGCACCUGGAAACGCUCCCAUGCUUCAUAAAAGGCUUCAUCCGCACCUUGUCGGAAUGUUGAGAUCUCAAACUUUGCAU